GAUGAACGCUGGCGGCGUGCCUAAUACAUGCAAGUCGAGCGAACAGACGAGGAGCUUGCUCCUCUGACGUUAGCGGCGGACGGGUGAGUAACACGUGGAUAACCUACCUAUAAGACUGGGAUAACUUCGGGAAACCGGAGCUAAUACCGGAUAAUAUAUUGAACCGCAUGGUUCAAUAGUGAAAGACGGUUUUGCUGUCACUUAUAGAUGGAUCCGCGCCGCAUUAGCUAGUUGGUAAGGUAACGGCUUACCAAGGCAACGAUGCGUAGCCGACCUGAGAGGGUGAUAGGCCACACUGGAACUGAGACACGGUCCAGACUCCUACGGGAGGCAGCAGUAGGGAAUCUUCCGCAAUGGGCGAAAGCCUGACGGAGCAACGCCGCGUGAGUGAUGAAGGUCUUCGGAUCGUAAAGCUCUGUUAUUAGGGAAGAACAAAUGUGGAAGUAAAUAUGGACGUAUUGACGGUACCUAAUCAGAAAGCAACGGCUAACUACGUG
rnacentral:rRNA from 1 species